GGCCUACCAUGGUGGUAACGGGUAACGGGGUGUUAGGGCACGACACCGGAGAGGGAGCCUGAGAAACGGCUACCACAUCCAAGGAUGGCAGCAGGCGCGCAAAUUACCCAAUCCCGACACGGGGAGGUAGUGACAAUAAAUAACAAUACGGGGUUCUUUAGGAUCUCGUAAUUGGAAUGAGUACAAUUUAAAUCUCUUAACGAGGAACAAUUGGAGGGCAAGUCUGGUGCCAGCAGCCGCGGUAAUUCCAGCUCCAAUAGCGUAUAUUAAAGUUGUUGCAGUUAAAAAGCUCGUAGUUGAAUUUCGGGAUCAAUUUAUUGGUCGUGCUAUUGUACGUACUGGUAUUAUUGGUUCCUACCUUCUGACGAACCAUGAUGUCAUUAAUUUGGUGUCAUGGGGAAUCAGGACUGUUACUUUGAAAAAAUUAGAGUGUUUAAAGCAGGCUCACGCUUGAAUACAUUAGCAUGGAAUAACGAAAUAGGACGUUUGAUUCUAUUUUGUUGGUUUCUAGGAUCGACGUAAUGAUUAAUAGGGAUAGUUGGGGGCAUUAGUAUUCAAUUGUCAGAGGUGAAAUUCUUAGAUUUAUUGAAGACUAACUACUGCGAAAGCAUUUGCCAAGGAUGUUUUCAUUAAUCAAGAACGAAAGUUAGGGGAUCGAAGACGAUCAGAUACCGUCGUAGUCUUAACCAUAAACUAUGCCGACUAGGGAUCGGAUGAUGUUAAUUUUUUAAUGACUCAUUCGGCGCCUUACG
rnacentral:rRNA from 1 species